AACGAACGCUGGCGGCAUGCCUAACACAUGCAAGUCGAACGAGACCUUCGGGUCUAGUGGCGCACGGGUGCGUAACGCGUGGGAACCUGCACUUAGGUUCGGAAUAACUCCCCGAAAGGGGUGCUAAUACCGGUUAAUGUCUUCGGACCAAAGAUUUAUCGCCUUUGGAUGGGCCCGCGUUGGAUUAGCUAGUUGGUAGGGUAAAAGCCUACCAAGGCGACGAUCCAUAGCUGGUCUGAGAGGAUGAUCAGCCACACUGGGACUGAGACACGGCCCAGACUCCUACGGGAGGCAGCAGUGGGGAAUAUUGGACAAUGGGCGAAAGCCUGAUCCAGCAAUGCCGCGUGAGUGAUGAAGGCCUUAGGGUUGUAAAGCUCUUUUACCCGGGAUGAUAAUGACAGUACCGGGAGAAUAAGCUCCGGCUAACUCCGU
rnacentral:rRNA from 1 species